rnacentral:rRNA from 1 species
GACAGAGGUCCCAAGCGUUAGGCGGAAUCACUGGGCUUAAAGCGUGUGUAGGCGGAUCCGUAAGUACCUUGUGAAAUCCCACGGCUCAACCGUGGAACUGCUGGGUAUACUGGUUGUCUUGAGCCAGCUAGGGGCGAGCGGAACAGACGGUGGAGCGGUGAAAUGCGUAGAUAUCGUCUGGAACGCCGAAGGUGAAAACAGCUCGCUGGGGCUGCGCUGACGCUGAGACACGAAAGCCAGGGGAGCGAACGGG